rnacentral:tRNA from 1 species
CGGGGUAUGGCGCAGUCUGGUAGCGCACCUGCUUUGGGAGCAGGGUGUCGGGGGUUCGAAUCCCUCUACCCCGAUCA